AAUUUUUAAAGAUCAGUGCAAAGGCCCUGGGUUCAAUCCCCAUUAACCCCCCUCCAAAAAAAAGUAGUGCAGAAUUGGGUAGGUGUUUAUAUAUUUGAAGGCAGUCAGUUCUGACAUGCUGGAAUUUUAACCCCGUGGCAGGAAACCAAGAGCUGGUGUGAGAACACUGCAUCCACAAAGCAACGGCCCAUGCAGUGUCACCUGUGAAUGUUGAAAAUCUGCAGUAUGUGAUGGCACAAAGGAUGAAGAACUUGGAAAAUUGAGUGGGCAUGCUUGGAUGGGUGUGCUGCAUGAGGCCAGGAAACAGUAGAUGAUGAAAAUUAAAGCAACAAGGAAUGCCCUAGUGAGAAAACCAUCACUUAAUUGGUGGAGAAUCAGAAACUCUUGAGCUGGACAUAGUGGUGCACACUGCAAUCCCAACACUUGAGUGGCUGAGGCAGGAGAAUCAAAGUUUGAGCUCAGCCAGAGCAACUUAAAGUCACAGAUCUGAAACUUCUCAGUCAAGAAAUGACUUGAAAUGGCAGUCAAGAGAUCCUGUUGUCUCAUAAUCCCAAAGUCAAUUUUAUUGAUAACUAGAAUAACUGGAAAGGGGAUGAGCAACGAUGGUAAAAGGAGACCCCCAUUUUGGGGGGUUUUUGGGUGGUGUUGGGAUAUCAUUUUUGCCAAUAGAAGUAUGACCACUGUCUCCA
ensembl:lncRNA